rfam:Micromonospora humi strain DSM 45647 genome assembly, contig: Ga0070213_102
ACCACCCACGUGGGAGAGACCGUCGAGCAGACGGCGCCGAAGGGGCAGAUUCUCCCCGGAACCUCUCAGGCAAAAGGACCACGUGGGCAGG